rnacentral:rRNA from 1 species
GACGAACGCUGGCGGCAUGCCUAACACAUGCAAGUCGAACGGAGAUUAUUUCGGUAAUCUUAGUGGCGAACGGGUGAGUAACGCGUGGGCAACCUGCCCUCUAGAUGGGGACAACAUCCCGAAAGGGGUGCUAAUACCGAAUGUGACAGCAAUCUCGCAUGAGGAUGCUGGGAAAGAUGUCCUCUAUUUAUAAGCUAUCGCUAGAGGAUGGGCCUGCGUCUGAUUAGCUAGUUGGUGGGGUAACGGCCUACCAAGGCGAUGAUCAGUAGCCGGUCUGAGAGGAUGGACGGCCACAUUGGGACUGGGGCACGGCCCAGGAUCCUACGGGAGGGAGCAGGGGGGAAUCUUCCGGAAUGGGGGAAAGCCUGACGGAGGAAUGCCGCGUGAGUGAUGAAGGAAUUCGUUCCGUAAAGCUCUUUUGUUUAUGACGAAUGUGCAGAUUGUGAACAAUGGUCUGUAAUGACGGUAGUAAACGAAUAAGCCACGGCUAACUACGUG